rnacentral:lncRNA from 1 species
AGUCUUCGAUUGGUUCUGCCGUGGUAGGGUGUGCGUGAGGUGGAAGAAGGGCUGUUCCUCCACGGCACGGUGGAGGAGUUCUGAAGUCCUAAAGUUGGGGCAGGACCUGCAGCAUGGUCGGAGAAGGGGCAAGAGGCCCGGCGGGAAGAAGCAGCAAGAGUAAGACACACAGUGCCUGGCAUAUUAUUAUAAGGGCUCAACAGGUCGUGGAAUUAAGGGAAGAAGCAGAAAAGUUCUAGAAGAGGACUGGAGAAGUAGAAGGACUACAGACCCCAUGAUGCACAUGGAAAUGGGCGUAAAUCUGCACGACUUGUUCCGGGGCAUGCGCAUGUGUAAGCGCACAA